GAGAGUAAAAUAGUACGUGAAAUUGUUGAAAGGGAAACGAUUGAAGCCAGUCGUACCUGCGGACAAUCAGCUUUUUGAGUGUGAUUAUGUGGAUUGUGAGGAGUUUAAUCACCCUCAUGUUUUACGUAUUCGUGCUCUUGGGUGUACUUGCCCGUGUGGUAGGUUAACAUCAAUUUUGGUCGUCAUAAAAUGACUGGAGGAAUGUAGCUUUGGUCUCGUAUCGAAGUGUUAUAGACUCUGGUAGAUGUGACGAUUGGGAUUGAGGAUUGCAACGGAUACCCUUCUGGGCUAUUCGUCUGAUCUCUGAAACGUUGCCUUGAUGUCGAAAGCUUGCUUAUGAUGUUAGGGUAUUACGGUCAAAAGGUUAGAACGGAUUAAAUUCGUUAAGGAUGUUGACGUAAUGACUUUAAACGA
rnacentral:rRNA from 1 species